UACGUAGGGUGCGAGCGUUAAUCGGAAUCAUUGGGCGUAAAGCGCGCGUAGGCGGCCCGGUAAGUCCGUUGUGAAAGUCAAAGGCUCAACCUUUGAAUGCCGAUGGAUACUGCCGGGCUAGAGUCCGGAAGAGGCGAGUGGAAUUCCUGGUGUAGCGGUGGAAUGCGCAGAUAUCAGGAGGAACACCGAUAGCGAAGGCAGCUCGCUGGGACGGUACUGACGCUGAGGCGCGAAAGCGUGGGGAGCGAACAGG
rnacentral:rRNA from 1 species